rnacentral:rRNA from 1 species
GACGAACGCUGGCGGCGUGCCUAAUACAUGCAAGUCGAGCGAAGUUUUUCCGGUGCUUGCACCGGAAAAACUUAGCGGCGAACGGGUGAGUAACACGUAAAGAACCUGCCUCAUAGACUGGGACAACUAUUGGAAACGAUAGCUAAUACCGGAUAAUAGCAUUAACUGCAUGGUUGAUGUUUAAAAGUUGGUUUUGCUAACACUAUGAGAUGGCUUUGCGGUGCAUUAGCUAGUUGGUGGGGUAAAGGCCUACCAAGGCGACGAUGCAUAGCCGACCUGAGAGGGUGAUCGGCCACACGGGGACUGAGACACGGCCCAGACUCCUACGGGAGGCAGCAGUAGGGAAUCUUCCGCAAUGGGCGAAAGCCUGACGGAGCAACGCCGCGUGAGUGAAGAAGGAUUUCGGUUCGUAAAGCUCUGUUGUUAGGGAAGAAUGAUUGUGUAGUAACUAUACACAGUAGAGACGGUACCUAACCAGAAAGCCACGGCUAACUACGUG